ensembl:lncRNA
CCCAAAUUCUUUUUUUUUUUUUUAAUCAGAUUGCAUUUCCACAUAUGCUUACAAUGCCAACCCUUCCUGCCUUAUCCAGCAUCAGUCAUCAGAGACUUCCAGAGCCUACCAAAAUCUGGCGCAAAGUAGCAGUAAGCCUCGUAAGAGGUCAAAGCGUUUAAAAGAGGGCAAAAGGCAAGGACUUAUGAUAAAGCAGUGCAAAUGUAUGGGAUUAAACAGCAAGGCCGGUGGGAUGGCACUGGAUGCACUUCAGGCCUUGUGGGUAGGCCUUGUGUGAACGGCUCCCCUGUGCAGCCGUGGGGGUCCAGAAGGAGCCAAGCACAGAAAGGCUGCAGGAGGAGAGGGGAUGGCAAGUGCAAGGUUACAUGUCAGAGAUGAGCACAAAAUGAGUCACGCUACAAAAGGCUGCACCUGAAAGGAAGUGUAAACCAGUGACUUCCUCUUCCCUGAACCUGCAGAGCUACAGACGAGGAGCAGAGACUGGAGAGUGAAAAUGCCCACUUCCUGCUCCACCGUCAGACACAACCAGUGCUAGAACUAGAGCUGUGCAAAGGCACAGAAUCCCCCAGCCUUCCAAUUCCUCCAGACAGGGCUGCAACUGCAGAAGAAAAAGAAAAACAAAAAAUAAGGACAAAUUAAAUUUUGCCAUGCUUCAGCACACGAUGCCAAAAGCUUUGCAUAGCAAAAUAAAUCUCAAGCCACAGACAAAGUUCCCACAGUGAAGUGAAACUUAAAUGUCUUCAGCAGCUCUGGCAAAAGCAUGCCAGCUCUGCCGGAAGUCAUCAGACAGUUCCCCUUUCACUGAUGCAUGAAUGUAGUCUAAUUCUCUGCUUGCCUGGUUCUCUGCUUCUUUGUACAAAGUCCUUCAUCAGUGUAGUCAAGCUCUCAUGGGAAAGCUAGUUUAAAAUAGGAAAAAAUAUUUUUUAAUCAUUUUUUGUUUAGUUUUUCAACGUUUUCUUUGCAGUUUUUCAUGCCCAGGCUUAGCCGUGUGUGGUUCCAGGCAGGCCAUCACAUCACAUGGAGGUCAGGGAAAGCCAGUGCAAAGCAAUGGGUCCUCCUGGGUCUUUGGCUCCCUUUACCCCUCCCCAAGAAUAUUUCCUUUUUUCUGCUAUCUAGAGAAGUUGUGCCCAGAGAGGCUGUGGGUGCCCCAUCCCCAGAGGUGCUCAAGGACAGGUUGGAUGGACCCUGGGCAUCCCAAUCUGGUGGGUGGCAACCAGUCCAUGGCAGGGGAUUGGAGCUGGGUGAUCUUUAAGGUCUUUUCCAACCUAAGCCAUUCUAUGAUUCUAUGAAAAAAAAACUUCCACUAAGAAAAUGUGGGAAAACAAAGUAGUUAAGAAAACUGCUUGAAAAGGCAAAGACUAAUAGAAGAUGCCUGAAUCCUAGCUUUAAAAGAAUAAUAAUCAUUUCCAACUUAUUUUCUUCAUCUGCAGACAUUUGCUGAACUUGAGGAGGAUUCAAAACAAUUUUUUGUCCACCCAAAGCUGUGCGUCACACCAACAGCACCCCCUCAUCCCAAUACCAAGCUGACACUAGCUGCCUUUAGAGCCACUGAGAAUGCAAAGUCUUCGUAUCAUCCAGCCCUAAUCCAUAGAUCAGGAGAUUGGAUCUGGUAGGGAAAUUAACAGAGAUCGAAGCAUGUCCUGCUUUCCCCGCAGAGGCACUUAUUGCUUUUGCAGUGAGCUGUGAAGGACUCUUGUUUACAUUCCAGGGCCGUGGGUCACAUUUGAGCACAUCACCUCGCUCUUCUUUGACAUCAUUAAGCAAGAAGCUCUGCCUUCAUUUGUCAGCUGAGCUCAAUGCUGACAUUUAACCCACGACUACAGUCUGUUCCCAGUUCCAACCAGCCUGGAGCUGGCUCUCAAUGCUUGUGGCUUCCUUCAGGAAGCUACUGCCAGCUUGCCAUUCCUUUCACUUCAAUAUUUGUUUUAUUUACUUUAUCUUUUGCCGACAUUUCCUGGCUCUGUGGUCCAUAUGACUCAGAGAUUUCCCGGACCCCAACUCUGCAGUGAUGUCAGCUCCAAAGGCUGAAGUUAAUAAAUACCACACUCUCGUGAUGCCAAACUGUAAUGAUGAGGGAGGCGGCACGCUGUUGUUUCAUUAUUUUUUAUGGCCGGCACAUUGAGUUUCCUCUAACUCCAUACUUGGACCUGAGCUGCAGCCUACUAUAAAGCUUCUAUACCAUUUUAAUGACAAGAGGAUAGAAAGUGAAACACCCUGCUUUAUUUUGAUCUUCUCAAGAGACAAGUGUGUAUAAAGCUGUAAAAGACCUGCUGUAGACAUAAGGCAAAAGUCCAGGGCUGCUUUGAAGUCGUGUGUCCCGAAGUCACCUUGGAGAGUGACUUCAUCUCUAUGAGACUUGUUGUGUUAAAAAAAAAUAAAAAAUAGUAGAGGUAUUUAAGACAUGCCUAGCAUCUGCUGGCUCAGAUAAAUGUUAGCAACUGUAUAAAUACAUCUGUUCUCCCUGCUUGAUGUUGUAUGUUCACCUUUAUAUUGAAGAAGGAGCUGAAGCCAGCAGUGAUACAGCAUGCUGGUAUCAAAGCUGUUUGCAGUGGGUCUUGGAGCUUCGUGCUCAAGUCUUCUAAAAUCCUCCAUCCUUUUGCAGACAGCCAUUUCUAAUGAGGUAGACUUGAAGAGAAAUCACAGCUUUUCCAUUCCUUGUUAAGAUUUUAUUUUCUAAUCUCUCCGCAUAAUUUUCAUGGUAUUUCCCUGAACUGUCAACAUGGGGCCACCUGUAACUGCUUCACCAUUUAUUUGCCAUACAAGGCAAUCACCUGCCUGUGGCUGGCAUAAAUCCAUGACGCAGUCAUGAGCCCUGGGGACUUUCCCCUUGGCUCUCAGCAUCACUCAUGCUGCACCACAGGUACUUCCACCCAUAUAGAAGGUGAACUAUGUGCUACAAUGAGAAGAACACAGGAGCCUAUCAAAAACACAAGCAAAGCAACGACCUUUGUGCCAUUGCAGGAAUCAACAUGAUUGCAGAGCAGUCUUGCUGCUGCAGGACUACACGAGGCUACAACAGGAGACUUUUAAUUUGGUUUAUCAGCAGGUCAUAUGAAUUUCAGCAAAGUGUUCCAGUCUACCUCAUCUUUUUUUUUUUUUUUUUUUUUCAUUUUUAGAAAAUAAAUCAGACUUCAUAACAUAGGCAAGAUGUUAUGAGAAACGCCCCUGAGUUCUGGUAAGGAUAUUUGUUUUUUCAGCCUGUAUUUCUUUUUCCCUCUUUUUUUUUUUUUUUUUUUCAUUUGGGAGUGUUUUUUAAUCUUUUAAUAACUCUGUCCAGAGUUAUUUCUGCAUGAAAAUUACCACUCUGUCCAUGAAAGACAGAAAUAAUGCUCUGACCAAUGCAAAGGCCCACCAUUUCAUUAUUUUUAUUCAUGUUUAAUAGAGGAGAACAGGGGAUUGAGGGAUUGAAGCAGGCAGGCUCAGGUGGAGAAGUCUUGUCCCGAAGCACUUCUUUAGUGCAGGCAGAUGUAAUCCUGGUCUCUGUACUGAUCUUUCUCAGCUCUCAUGCUUUAUCCCCUCUAGUGCCUGGCAUGGAUAAGACCCCCUCAACACCAGUUGCUCACAUGUCUCCAUGGAUUUCUGCACUGCCUCCUUCUUGAAGUAUGAUGCUUUAUGCUGGGAUCCAGUGUGGAAGAAAUUGGAUUCAAAACAUCCAACACCUACAUAUAGAACUGUUCGUCUCCACUAUCCGAGUAGUUCAGGCCAAGUUGAAGGCACAGAUAUAAACCACUUUCUCACCAACCUCAUCCUUUCCCAUAUUUGUUCGUGUGUAUGUCUAGAUCUCAUAGCCUCUAUCUCGAUUGUAAGGGGGAUAGAAGUCUGAAGAAGUAGCUGAUACAUCUGAGCCUCCGGGCCUACCUAGUUUAAGGGCAAUCAGAAUCAUAGGAUCAUCAAGGUGGGAAAAGACCUCUAAGAUCAUCCAGACCAACAGUCAAUCCGCUCCCACCGUGCCCAUUAAACCAUAUCCAUCAGUGUCACAUCUCCAUGUUUCUUGAAAACUUCCGGGGAUGUUCCAGUGCUCCAAUGCAAUGUUCUCACUGUGCUGUUAAAUAUUUCUCUCCCCUCAUUUCAGGGAUGGCACUGAACUGACUCUCAUCCCACUCCUGUGCUCAUCUCAUGCACUUUGGUCUGGAACCAGAGAGAGCAAACUCAAGAGUCAUAUUAAUUUGCACAAAACAACGUUAAAACAACUGCACUGUGGCCUUCUAGCCCAGUAUUACAGUCAACAGUGGUGACAUAAGGGAAAAUAUGACAAGAUAAACAUACAGUGGCUUUUUUCCUGAACACUCUCCCAGUGAAUUUGUCUGAAUAAUAUUCAGAUCCCUCAAAGCAGUAGAACUGUGUCCAUGGCAUAUUUAGAGGUGGAAAGUAUGUCUCUUGCAGUAGAGAAUAUCCGUGGAGACGCACAACUUCGCUUUUCAUCCCUCCUGCUCUUGAGAAGCUGAGUCAAAGAGGCCAUGCAUGGAGUAUCUCCAGGACCAGCAGUCUGCAGGGUCAGGUGUGAAGGUCCUGGGGAAGCAGGAUAGAAAGCCUGGCAAGCUACAGCUCUGCCAUUUUUGUAGUCAGCUUUGAGUUAUAUGGGGACAUCUACUGAGAACAUUACUGUCAAAUAAACAAGAUUUUGCUUGAGCUGCAUGAUCUGGAGUUAAAUUAAAGCCACUGAAGCGUGAAAAGGGCAGGUUGAAUCCAGCUGUGCUGGAUAGGAAUCUCUUUGCCUCUUCAAAUCCAGUCACAUCUGUGUUGUAUCUUUUCACAUCUCGAUAUUGGAUUUUGUUGCUGGGUGUGCUGGUUAUUGUAGUGUUUGGCUGCAAAAAUCCCAUGAUGGAGGUUACAUGGCUGCAUAUCCCAGAAAGCUUGAGCCUUUAAAGACAACCACAUCACAUUGGAAUUUAGUGUGAAAAGGGAUCAUGCAUAGUAUAACAUGAUCAAAUCACUGUUCUUUAAACAUUAAAACUGCAAGGAAAAAAAAAAAAGACUUAAAAUAACUGAAACUGUCCAGGCAAUGGCAAGGUUUGGUUCAAAACCCAUUGCAAGGGAAAUGCGAACACUGCAAACUCACAUAAUAUAUUUUAUUCUGAGCUGCAACUCAAACACAGUGAAACAGAUUUCACUCCACCUCACAGAAAUAAUCUUUCAGAUGAACCAUGUAGAAGAACAGCCAAGGAUUCCACAGACAUCAGAAAAGAAUCACUUGGAGAUCUUCCUAAGCCUGAAGUUUAGGCCAAGUCAAAGUCAUGGAAGCAGAACCUGUCUUGGCAGUGAUUUGGUCCAUGGAGACUCAUCAGUGUCUCCAUGGGCACUUCCCUUUCUCUGGAACUAGAAACAUCGCAUACAAGUACCAAGAAAAACUUGCUGUUUCUCAUCUUACUGUUGAGGUUGGAAGGCUUUUCUCCUCUGAGGAUCAGGAACGAGUGCCACCCACAAGGCCAUGUUGCUCUUUGAUACCCACCAUUAGCAUUGCAGGGAUUGUGGUUCCUAUUUAGUUUAUUCAUGUGCUUUCUUUCUCACACGGGGUCUUCUUUUAUGCUUUUACUUAGACAACAGCUUAAGGAAUCCCUAAUGGUCAUGAAUUCCAUCUUUUUCUCAGUAAUGAAAACUACUUAUAUUUUAUUUCACCAGAGAAUGAAAGUCUCAAGGACCCUCAUAUGUCCUCUGUCCAGGGGAAAUGGUUCUGCCUAUGGCAUAUCAGUCAAACCCACGUGGAUGUCCAGGGCAACUCUUGCUCUUGCCACCUGUGUUUAAGCAACUGAUUCUCACUCCUGGUGUCUCCUUUAGGGCAGGAUGGAUCUCUCUGUAUGCACCAUCGGCUCCAUGGUUAGAUUGAUUACAAAGGGAAUUUGGACAACCAGCACUAAAACCUGCACACAGGUGCUUGGUGUAGGCACCUUCUACUGGUGUGAACCAGAAGUAAUUACAACCCACUCCUGCACCAUGUUCCUUUGUAUCCAGCAACCUGGAAAGGUAGAGCUAAUAGAAACAGGACUCAACUGAGCAGAGAAUAAAAACUUUCAACAAGUAUGACCCAUUAACCCUAAUCUCAUAAUUACUCCAAUAUUGAUCAGGAAGUGUGCACUAAUUAGCAGGGCAUUCAAUCAGAAACACACUAUGAGCUGAAUUACCAGCUCCUCUUAUCUGUCCUUUUUGAGGUUGGAAGUUAUCAUCUCCCUCUCCUUUUGGAUGGAAUUAGUGCACAAUUACAUGAGAAAAUGAGUCUCAUUUUUGUCUUGCACCAGUUGCUCGUCAGCUGCUUAGUGACAACACAGUCCCAGAAGCAUUUACUUCACACAAUGGUCUAAAUGUCAGCCAAGGCAAGCCUAGCCUUGCUCUUUGUGGAUGACACUAAACGAAAAGGAAAAGCUCAUAGACUGAUUUGUAUUUUUGCUGUCUCCUUUUCUUACUCAAAAUGGCCUGUAGCCACAGAAAUAACUCAGGACAACCAGGCUGCAGGAUCCAUGUGGAAUUCAAGUCUCACUUGCCUUCUCCAGUCUUUCCCUCUACUUUGCAGGGCUGGAAGUCCUAACGGCGCAAUAUUAGGUGGCUGAUCUUUGAACUGGUCUCCCAUUAAAAGUGAACUGGGGAAGAACAUGGACUUCAUCUGCCAACUUGACCACCUGAUGGAGCUUUUUUGAUGGCCUUGGGUCUGAAAAUCACCAUGUCUCUGGAAAGGAGAAGGCUGGAGCACCCCUCCUACGAAGAGAGGCUGACGGAGCUGGGCUUGCUCAGCCUGGAGAAGAGAAGGCUCCAGAGAGACCUCACUGUGUUCAGCCAGUACUUAAAGGGAGAUUAUAAACAGGAGGGGAAUGAACUUUUAAAACAGGCCCCUCCAGAGCACAACAUUGAUGCCAAGACCACAAAUGGAAGCCACAAGGAGGAAAAUGAUAAGCAUCUUUGCAUUUCCUGGCACUCAGGCUGCCUCAGCAAGGAAUUCAUUCCCUGCCUGAACUGCUCAGCAGUAUGCACACCGUUUUACAUGUGAGUAAUGUGAGCCAUUUUGAUGCUUAAGUGUCCUGGCCAAAGUCUUGGAGGAGUCGUGGCCACAGAUGCAUAAACAGAGCUUGUAUGUCUUGUCUCUAAAUCAUGCUGACUAAGCACUAUGAGAAGUUUCUUGUCCCUCAUCAGCUCAGGUAGAUUCCUUUGUGCUAAAUCACUAGUAGUAAAAAGUAAAAAACAAUUAGAAUAAUUAACUCCUACAUAACCAUGUCAUGAUGCACUUUGCAAAGAUCUCCAAGAAUCCCUUAUCGCUGUUUUGCAUCUGGCUCAGCUGAAGCACUGGAAAGUGAAAUCAUUCAGCCCCAGGCCUGUCCUUUUCAGUCCUAGGUGUGUCUGAGUUCAGAGGCACUCUAAGGUCACCAUGAACUCUUGGAUCUCAGCUCUCUGCUGUCCAAGGUGCAGGACUGUCCUUAGGCAACACCAGGACACCAAAAACGGAGAGAAAUGGUACUGGAGGAGGAACGUAGCCCACAGAGUGCUUCAGUAUGAUGCCAUCCCCCAACUGAGCUGUUUCUGAAUCUGGCCAUCAAAGCUCUUGUCAUGUGGACGAAAUCUUGAGACACAUUCAAGACGAUUUACUAUUCUGCUCUACAAAUUGGAUAUUUAUAGGCCUGGGUUGAACAUCUAUAUUCCUCUACCCAGAGGUAGCACAUAUUGACCCAAUUUCUGUGCUUAAUAGUAUGCUGUAAAUCCAGACCAACUUCACAUAUUUCAGCAGAUUUACUUCAAGGUGACUGAGAUUAGAACAUGACGUAGAGAAAUAUGUUGCUUCAGCCACAACUAUCUUUUCACUUGUUGGUUUAACACCCCUGUGCUGCUUAAUUAGGGGAAUGCUUCAGAUCUGAUCUUAAACAAACCAAUAAACCCAAAGCAAUAACCACCUUAUCUACUUCACUCCGACCUUCGCUGAAAGGCCUCCUCAGCCUUCACCUCAUAAUUUUAUGCUGACUGUGGGGAACAUCCUAGAGCCAGAAGGAGAUCAGAGAGGACAGUACCAUAUCUCCCAGUUACUACCUUUGUCCAGGCUUUUGCUCAUUGCACUCCUCGAGUUACUUGCUUUUUCUUGCCUUUUAUAUGAUUUUGAAAGGCAAACAGCAACACGUUUUGUUUCCAGACACUAACAUACUUUAAAGUUUGCACUCAACCCGUAGGAUUUGCAGGGCAACAGUCGUCAUCACUGUCGCCAUCGUCAAAGUGUCCUGGAAACCCAUUCCCUGUAGAGACGGCAAGGCAGAAAGGGUUCAGCAUGGCAGUAGAUGGCGCUGAAGACCUUGGAGCACACCAAGGAGCCUUGGAUGACCCACACACCUUCCGAGGCCUCUCAAGGAGCCUUUUCCCCCUCUGUUCCUUUGCUUUCCGAAAGAGCAACCACCACACAGGGACGCGAGAAGACCUUCCCAAUGAAAUUUGGGCCACUGGGGCUCAGUGCAGAGCAGGCUAAUCUUAGAGAAACUCUUAGUAGAUGGGGGAUCACACACUGUGGAUGAGAGUUACUGGCUCUAACAGGGAGCGUGAAAAUGGCAGCAAACCAUGCACCAUGGAACAGCCCUCUUUCUGGGUAGGUGUAGUGCCUUCUCCAACACUUUGCUACUCCCUCAUUUGCAGAGUUCAGCAUGGUUGCAGAGAGCUGAUGGCCUUCUUUCUCUGAUUGCAAUAAUCUCCCCAGACGCAAUUACAUUUAUAGCUUCACAGGUGUGUCUGCAAUUACAGAAGUGCUGCAAGUCAGCUCCAAGCCACUGUCUGUCACUGUUACCACGAGACUGCUGGGAACAUGUGACUACCUGUACCGUGAGAUUUCAGGUCAUCUGAACCUUCAUUCUUUCUCUUAUCUGAUAGAACAUGUCGUAUCUUAUGUGUAGCUCAAUGAAUCUGAAAAAAUAUUACCUUGACCUCCCUGACUUCCUUGUCUGUUCUUCCUGGUUUCAGGGGAAAAGUAGAAGAAAAUAAUUCCUUGGUCUUUUAUGGAGCAAAGGAUGUACAUACGUUAUAUCCAGUAGAAUGCUAUACUUUAUGGUGCACUGGCUUUGGGAUUACAUUGGUUUCCUAGGUGGGAAAUGCAGAUUUGUGUCAUUCCAGUGAUGGGUAGUUCUGACACUCUCCAGAGUUGCCUGACCCCAGCUACCUAUCCAGUCAAUGGAGUUGAUGGUGUCAGUGGUAAAAGGAUGUUCAUAUCACCUCCAUCUAAAGUAGAGAUCACAUCUACUGCUUUCACAGCAAGCCAGGCAUCACCCACCUUUCUCUUACACUGCAAUGGGGGCACUGAAGCAUGUUGCAGGAUCUGCAGUGGGAAAUCUCAACUAAGGUUUGUGUCUUCUUAGUAAAUUGCUGUCAUAAAAACUAUACAAGCAUCGAUAAGGAUAAAACAUCUCCUUAAUUAUCUGUGGAUAUAAGAGGCAGAUAGACUUUUGCCAGAACAAAAUAUUCAGCCUUUGUUUAGUGCCUCUUUAGUUAUCAGUUCCAAUUCCCUUCCUAAGUCUCACAGGGCAAUGGAGAAUCACCCCAAGGGUCACUUCUGGUUAAAACCCUGGCUCCAAAAAAAUACUCUGGUUGCGUGAGAACUCUCCUCUGUUUUACAUCCUGAGGACAUUAAAAAAACCAUUUCCCUUGGGGCCCAUUCCCUGACCUCUGGCAUUGUUAUUCAUCCUAUGACAGUUCUUCAUGAAUUAGUAGCUUAUUGGGUAGUAAUGGUGAUAGGAGGACAGUUGGACUAGAUGAUCUUGUAGGUCCUUUCCAACCUUGUGAUUUUAGACAGGCAAUUCAGUUACUCAGUGAACACUGUUUUCUAAUCACCACUGUCAACAUUUCAAACUAAUUUGCCCCACUAACAUUUUCCCCAGUUUCCAUCAAGCUGGGACAGACCCAAAGGUGGCUAUCAUGUGUCACGUGUGCUCACCAUCAAGGAAAGCUUUUCUCCCAGGUGCCACACCUCCACAUUUUCCCAGUGGCUUAAUUCAGUCUGUCUAUGGAUGAAGUGACCGUAGAGUCCAUCAGAAACUUUUCCUUUUGAGUCACACGAGGACGUGGUUUUUUUCUGGGUAGCUACAUCAGGAUGAUCAGGACAUCAAUCACGGUAUCAUUAAGGUUGGAAAAGACCACUAAGCUCAUCCAGUCCAUGGACCAUCAACCCAUCCCCAACAUGCCCAUUAACUACGUCCCUCAGUGCCACAUCUGCCCUUUUCUUGAAAGACCCCAGGAAUGGUGACUCCCCCACCUCUCUGAGCAUCCUGUUGUAAAAUCAGCGCACACACCAGAUUCAUACUGACUCAGCCAAAU